rnacentral:rRNA from 1 species
UACGUAGGAGGCGAGCGUUGUCCGGAGUUACUGGGCGUAAAGGGUGCGCAGGCGGCGUUCCGCGUGGGGAGUUGAAAUCUCCUGGCUUACCUGGGAGGGUGGUCGCCAGACGGGAGCGCUUGAGGGUUGGAGAGGGGCGUGGAAUUCCGGGUGGAGCGGUGAAAUGCGCAGAUAUCAGGAAGAACACCCGUGGCGAAGGCGGCUCUCUGGGACGGUACUGACGCUGAGACGCGAAAGCGUGGGGAGCGAACAGG